rnacentral:rRNA from 1 species
UACGGAGGAUGCAAGCGUUAUCCGGAAUGAUUGGGCGUAAAGCGUCCGCAGGUGGCAAUGUAAGUCUGCUGUCAAAGCGUCUGGCUCAACCAGAUAAAGGCAGUGGAAACUACAUAGCUAGAGUAAGGUAGGGGUAGAGGGAAUUCCUGGUGUAGCGGUGAAAUGCGUAGAGAUCAGGAAGAACACCGGUGGCGCAAGCGCUCUGCUGGACCUUAACUGACACUGAGGGACGAAAGCUAGGGGAGCGAAUGGG